ensembl:rRNA 5S_rRNA 5S ribosomal RNA
GUCUGCGGCCAUACCACCCUGAACGCACCCAAUCUCGGAAGCUAAGCAGGGUCGGGCCUGGUUAGUACUUGGAUGGGAGAAUACUCAAGGGCUUGAUAUAGGCA